rnacentral:lncRNA from 1 species
AGGAUCGAUUGAAAUUGAAUGGCACAGUUGGGUUUGCAAAGCACUCUUAGGGUUUAUAUGAGAGGGAAUUGGUUCUUUGCCGAUGAGUUCCCUUCGGUCUCUGGAGGUUGCUCUGAGCUCUGUUUGCUCUUCUCUCACUAUCUUUUUCCCUGCCAGGGUAAUAGGAAUAGAAUGGCCUUUUGUUUCACUGAAACUCUGAAUUUAUAACUUGAUUUUUGUGGACCUGUGGGUACAAAUGAGAGAGGCCCAAGUCCAAAAAUUUUCUGUU